UCGAUGGUGUGGCCAUGAAAUCCUUUCUAGAUCAUUCCCAUAUUUGAGCUACUCCUAAGUCUAAUCAUUUCCCACUAAUAAGUCCUAUCAUUAACCCAAAAGCCCAGCAGGAUUACCCUACAAAUUAUAAUCACCCAUCCACCUUUCCUAAUAAGUUAGGUCUGGUUUAAAUACAAAAAUACAUAUUUACCGAAAUAAAAUAAUCCUAAAUACACACAUAUUCAGUACAGCACAAGGUGAAUGGGUUAUGCACCCAUUGAUUAUUUGAUACAAAAUCUGGAAACAUGAAAAUGGCAAACCAAACAAGAGAAUUUAAUUUGGAUAUCGGGGUGUCCAAAAAGGGAAAAACCCCAAUAUUUCUUUGUUCUCACUUGCUAAGUUUUGGUAUAUUUACAAAUACAAAUAUAAAAAUAUAUAUAUAUUACACAGCUCUACGUACAUUUUUAUUAUUAAUGAUAUGUUAAACAAGGAAACGAGAAGAGCCCAAUGAUGCCCUGGCCUUAGUUAGCUGGCUUUUCCCAGUGGUUUUUUUUUUUUUUUGAAGACUAAAAAAAGCGCUAACCAGAACAUUUAAUCGCCGGCGACUUGGGUCUCCGGUCCUUGGAACAUGAGUCCGGCGAGCGCCGGCCGGAGCUUAUCCUUCCACGCGGCGGCGUAGGCCGCUGCAUCGCCGGCUCUCCUCCUAACCUCCACGACGACCAAAUCAUGGGUUAAUCGAUCAAUUUGAACCCCGAUUAUGAAAUUACCAUUUGGUCCCUGCAGGUCAACUCCCCAUUCCUUCUUCCAAUUCACCGUCAGGUUCUCACCUUCGGCAAUUUCCUCGAUUUUCUCGAUUAUUUUCUCCACGGGCUCGGCCGAUACAAAUCGCUCGUCGUCAUCCGGCGACGACUUGGACGAGUCAUUGAACAGACCCGACAAGUUCAAACCAGACGAGAACGAAAUUAUGUCGAAGGCAUUCAAGUUCGUGGGGCUUCGGUCCUCUUUUUCGGAUUUGAGUCCGAAAUCUUCUUCAUGGAACUUCACCUCUUUGUAUCCUUUUCUGAACCAUGGGUCCUGCAGGAUUUCAUCGACGGUGAUCCUGGUGUUGGGGUUGGUGUCGAGGAGGCGAGAAAGGAAACGUUUAAGGUCCGGCGACAUCCAUUUAGGGCACCGGAACUCGCCUUUGUAUAUUUUCUUGUACAUGGCCAUGAGAUUGGGAUCGUUGAAGGGUAGGUAACCGGCGUUCAACACGAAGAGGAUGACUCCGCAGGACCACACAUCCACUUUCGCCCCAUCGUAGCCUUUCUUGGUGAGAAUCUCCGGCGCGACGUAAGCUGGAGUGCCGCACAAGGUGUGCAGGAGGCCGUCGAGGCGAAUCUGAUCCGUCAAGGCGCUGAGCCCGAAAUCUGAAACCUUCAAGCACCCGUUCUCGUCAACGAGGAGGUUCUCCGGUUUCAGAUCCCGGUGAAACACCCCCCGCGAAUGGCAGUACCCGACGGCGGAGAUCAACUGCUGGAAAUACCGACGGCUCAGAUCCUCGCUGAACCGCCCCUUGGCGACCUUCGCGAACAGCUCCCCACCUUUCACGAACUCCAUCACGCAAUAGAUCUUGGUCUUGGUCGCCAACACCUCAUACAGCUUCACGAUGUGAGGGUGCUGCAACCGGCGCAUGAUAGAGAUCUCCCGUUUCACAUUCGCCAUCAAGUUGCUCCCAACGAUCUUCUUCUUACAUAUUGCUUUAAUGGCCACACUUUGCCCUGUCCUGAUAUUCCUCGCAUGAUACACCUUCGCAAACGCCCCACAGCCCAGCAAUCUGCCGAGCUCAUACUUCCCAAACAAAGCCUUCUCCGACGAGGUAGCCGAAGCGGCCCCACUCCCUGAGCCGCGUUCGAUCUCUGGCAUGGUAUCCAGAGAUCGAACACCCCUCUCUCCAAUCAAAAUGUCUAGACCCUUCGUAUUGAAGGCACAAAAAGAGAUUUUCAAUCCGAAUCCGGGCUGGGUUUACCCACCGCGAUUUCGGCGCUGUAUGUUUCUCGAGAAAAUGGUGUCCAAUCGUUAUUAAAUAGCUGACCCCGAAGCGCGUGAAGAAAAUGAAGGUGAAACCGUAGUUCAAUAGUUUGGUAACGUUUUUUAUUUAAUUUUUUACUAUUGGUGAGACUGGUGACAGACCUUGGCGUCCACGUGUCUGUUUACUAAUAGAAUAAGAAAGUAAAAAUGUUAUACACGGGCUAAUUAGUAAAAUAUUGCCACGUCGGCGGUGUCCGCAGGUCAACGACACUUUUUUCUACGCCAACCACGCCGCGGUUCGUUUGAGAAUGUUCCGCUCUUUUGCAUUUCAGUCCUUUCUUUUCUCCUUUACUAUGCCCAAUACCCCUGUGGUUUGUACUUUUUCCACAUUGCGGAAUGAAACUAAUUUCUAAAAAUAAGCGUGUAGCGUAUUGAAUUUUAAAUAAAUAUUUUAAAUUUAGGUACCGUUUAUUUUUUUUUGCUUUUUAUCGAAAGUAAUUUAAUUUUAAAAUUUAAGUUGUUUAUUUUUUUACUUUUUCAUGACUUAUUAUAAAUUUUUUACAAAAUAAAAAAAGAUAAAAUAUAUAGUUUUUUCUAAAUAAAAAAAAUAAUAUAUUAAUUUUUUUUACUUUUUAAUAUUUAAUAGAAAUAAAAUACUAUAAAAACAAAUAAUCUAAUAUCUAACACUAUUAAGCAUUAAAGUUCUAUUUAAAAUUAAGUGAAAAAACAAACACCACCUUAGUUUUAGAAAAACAACCUCUUUUGGAUUGUCCAUGAUAUAUUUUAUUUUAUAUUUGAUUAUUACGAAAUAAGUUAAAUUAUUUAAUUGUUUAUUAAAUUUUAUAUUUUAUAAAAUAAUGUAUGUUAUACCACAUUUAGAAUGUUUGGAAAAUUAUUUUUAAACUUUUUAUUUUUAAAAUAUUAAAAAGAUGAGAAACAAUUUUUAUAAUUAUUAUUAAACAUAGUCUUAAUUAUAAUAAAAUAGGUUAAAUUAUUUUUAUUAUUUAUUAUAUUUUAUAUUUUACUUUAAAUAACUUAUUUGAUAGUGGUGAGAUAAGUUAAAUUAUUUAUUUACUUAUCAUAUUUUAUUAUUUUGUCUUAAAUAAUAGAUAUUAUUUUAUAUUAGGUUGGGAUAAAAAUAGGUUAUUACUUAUUAUCUUUUAUAUUAUAUCCUAUGUUGAUAUAAAAUAAAUUAAUCCAUUAUUUUUUAAUAUAUGUAUUUAAUUUAAUUUUUUAUAUAAUUAAAUCAUGAAUAUUGUUAAAAAAAUUAAAAAUUACUUACUAAAUUAUCAAUUAUAACAACAUGCUAUACUUAUUUUUAAUAACAAAUAUUGUUAUAAUGUAAUUUUUAUUCAAAAAGAAUACUAAAUAUUAAAAUACAAUAUAUUUUUCUUUUCAUUUUUAUUUUUUUAUAAACCAAAUAUAAAUAUAACAUAAUAUUUCCCAUAAAAUAAAACAACUUAAAAUAUAUUUUCCAUUAGAUAAAAUAUCCAAAUCAAUUUACUAAAGGUCUUUUAAAAACACUUAUUUCAAUUUUUUCUAAAAAUAUUUUUUGUGGUGAAGAAGUCCACUUUGAAAUGAAGUUAGGUUGGAAUACUUGCCUUUUUUUUUUUUUUUUUUCUUUUUAUAAGAUUUUACAACACAAAUCAUUUUCAUUUGCCCUUUUUAAAUUAUCAAAUUUUAAAAAUACUUAUUUUAAUAUUUUUAAAAAUAUUUACAGAUCAUAUGUACUUCUUUGAAAAUUUGAAGAAAAAUAUUUGAGAAAGAAAAUAAAGAUGAAAAAUAGAAGAAAAUUAUCUAAAUUUAUUUAACUUAUUUUUUUUUUAUAUAUAUAAAGAUUAAAUAAUUAAAAAAUAUAUAAAUUUGUGAUAAAUUUUAAUUAAAUUUGAAAAGCCAUUUUACUUUCUAGAAACAAAACCUUCGUGACGAAGGAAGAAAGAGAAAAAAGACGUGUAGAUUAAGUUAGGUCGGAGGGGUUGCCUGUUUUGAUAAGAUUUUACAAAGCUAAUGAUUUGGACUUUGGUGUGGGCAUGAUUGGAGCUGGCCAUAAUUCACCAUAAUAAUAUUAUAAGAUACACAGGUUUUGAUCUGAAUUUGGCUGUAUUCUCACUUUCCACGUAUCCCGUUCAUCGCCAACCGUCCACUCUGUUUCUACGAAAUAUACUCUCAUAUUUUUAUCUUACUAUUUUUAGGCAACUUAAUAUGACCAUUAAGCCCAUCGCUAAGUAUUUAAUUUGGAUAAUAAUGAGUCAAUAAUGUACACCAGACUACCACCUGUUCUUGGAUACAUCUUGAUAUUAUAAAAAUUUAUUGUUUUUUUUUUAGUAUUUUAAUUAUUAUAUUGUUGAUUUGAGGGAAAAAUAAAUGGGACGGAAAUUUGAGGAUUUAUGAUUGAGGACCACUUUUUGAAAAUUAGAAACACCCAUAAUGUUGACCUAAAAAUUUAGCAUAUUUUCCAUCUGUCAUGGCCUUUUUAAUUGGCCACCAUGGAUGAAGACUUAACGGUAAGAAACUUAUAGGUGGCUUACCUUUCAACUUAUCUCCCCAUUCAACCUUGUGACUUUUAGUUUAGAAAACAACCCGCUUGAAGAACGGAUGGUGGGUUCCUCUACAGUAGACUAUGCUUCACAAUACAGGUAGAUAAAGUUCAAAAUUAAUUGACUUUCACAAGUGGUAUUAACACGAGGGAUGUGUGUUUUUAUAAAAAAGAAAAAUCAUAAAAUAAGAAUGUAAGUUUGAAAUAUCCGAUUAGUGCGUUUAUUUAAAAAUAAUUAAGAUUUUAUAUAUUUUUUACUACUUCCUUUGACCACAUAAAUAUUACUUUUUAAUAAUAUAAAAACUAUUAUAAUUAUAAAAAAAUUAAAGAUUAGUAAUUAUUAAUUUUUUCUAGAAAUCGAAUGAGAACGAUUGAUCAGAUUUUUCUUAAUAUUGAAAACCAGAAUUUUGAGAUGGAUAACUAUCGAUAUUUUCUAAGUGGACAAGAAAGUUUUUUUUUUUUUUUUUU
rnacentral:lncRNA from 1 species